GCAAACUUGGUCAUUUAGAGGAAGUAAAAGUCGUAACAAGGUUUUCGUAGGUGAACCUGCGGAAGGAUCAUUACCGAGUUGUGUCUCCCUAGGAGCCAUCUCCACCCUGUGCGAAUUAUCGACCGUUGCUUUGGCGGGCCGCGGCCCUGCUGCCGCCGGCCCCGGCUGGCGAGCGCCCGCCAAAGGCCUUUUAAAAUCUUUUUUACGUGGCGUCUGAGAAGCAAAUAAAUGCAAAAAACUUUCAACAACGGAUCUCUUGGUUCUGGCAUCGAUGAAGAACGCAGC
rnacentral:misc_RNA from 1 species